GAAAUUAAUUGCGAUGAAUGAUUCAUAUUCGUUUCCUCUUUAAGUGCGAUCAGACGGACGAGAUCGAUCGCAAUGGAUAGUCCAGAUUAACGCAGGAUGGUUAUAAAUAUUUUGCAUUACAAGAAAACCUAAACCAUAACUGAUAGGCCCCAUUGGAAAAGAAGAACCAAACACUGGAAAAGGAGGCCGACCGUCGAUCGCCGCCACGCCGGAACCACCACCGAUCACCAAAAGAGGUAAAAUU
rnacentral:lncRNA from 1 species